CGGCGGCAGCCUAACACAUGCAAGUCGAGCGAGAUCUUCGGAUCUAGCGGCGGACGGGUGAGUAACGCGUGGGAACGUACCCUCUUCUGCGGGAUAGCCACUGGAAACGGUGAGUAAUACCGCAUACGCCCUUCGGGGGAAAGAUUUAUCGGAGGAGGAUCGGCCCGCGUUGGAUUAGGUAGUUGGUGGGGUAAUGGCCUACCAAGCCUACGAUCCAUAGCUGGUUUUAGAGGAUGAUCAGCCACACUGGGACUGAGACACGGCCCAGACUCCUACGGGAGGCAGCAGUGGGGAAUCUUAGACAAUGGGCGCAAGCCUGAUCUAGCCAUGCCGCGUGAGUGACGAAGGCCUUAGGGUCGUAAAGCUCUUUCGCCUGUGAUGAUAAUGACAGUAGCAGGUAAAGAAACCCCGGCUAACUCCGUGCCAGCAGCCGCGGUAAUACGGAGGGGGUUAGCGUUGUUCGGAAUUACUGGGCGUAAAGCGCACGUAGGCGGAUUGGAAAGUAUGGGGUGAAAUCCCAGGGCUCAACCCUGGAACGGCCUCAUAAACUUCCAGUCUGGAGUUCGAGAGAGGUGAGUGGAAUUCCGAGUGUAGAGGUGAAAUUCGUAGAUAUUCGGAGGAACACCAGUGGCGAAGGCGGCUCACUGGCUCGAUACUGACGCUGAGGUGCGAAAGUGUGGGGAGCAAACAGGAUUAGAUACCCUGGUAGU
rnacentral:rRNA from 1 species